GGGGACGUUCUGGAUUCGACAGGGAUAGGUCGGAUUUACGUGGCGAGUCGAGCUGAGUGUCCUCGUAAAAACGCUCACCUUGCCUAUAGCUGGCAAACAAGAAGAUUCUUUCGCACUAGCAGCGGCGUAACAACCCUGCUUGCGGUUCCACCCUUCAUCACCCACGUGAAGGAUCAUGGGACUCACUCUAGUGGGUUACGGUAUGGUUUCCUCCACCUGAGGAAACCUGCAGGAGAUUAAUCAGGUUAGCCAUACGGAAGCCUGUUGGUUGGCUGACGUAUCGGCGAAAUAUAAUAAAUCAACUACGCUCGUAGAAGCGUAGGUCACGUUAUCCCUGGACGCGGGUUCGAUUCCCGCCGUCUCCACCA
rnacentral:tmRNA from 1 species